UCGGUAUAACUUGAUAUUAAUAUAUUUACUUUUUUUAGUUUUUCCUUUAUUUUUAUUGUUGGAUUAAAUAUUAUAAUGUUAUUGUAUUUAUUGAAGAUAUAAUUUUUUUUGUUAUAGUUUAUUUGUACUGUGAAGGUUUAUUAUGAAUAUUUUUAUAUUUAUAGAAGUUGAUUUUAUUUAUUGUACCUUGUGUAUCAGGGUUUAUUAAUAUAUAAUUAUUUAUUUUAUUGAUCCCGAUUUUAAGAGAGCUAAAUAUAAAUAUAUUAUUUACUGUUAAAUAAUUAUUGAUAAUAUAUAUUUAGAUGUGAAAUGUUAAUCGUUCUUGAAGGUAUCUGGUUUUCUGAGAAAUGAAUUUAAUUCAUAUAUUGAUUUAUAUACAAUUUUAUUUAAUAAUUUGUUUUUAAUUGAUAUUAAUACUUUGGGAGAUGAGUUCUGAAGUAAAUUCUUAUAAUUAAUUAAUUAAUUUUGAGUUGAUUGGAUUUAGAAGUGAUUAUUGUGUUGGAGAAUGUUAAAGUUUUACUCAUUUAUUUAAUUUAUUUAUAAUUAAUUUUAGGUUUAUUAUUGGAAAUUUUUAAUUAAUAAUUUAUUUAAUUGGUAUAAUGAUAAAAUUAGUAUAAAUUGUUAUUGGUAUUUUUAAUUAGUAUUUUUAGGAAAGAAUAAGGAAUUAGGCAAAUUUAUUAUAUUCGCCUGUUUAACAAAAACAUCUCUUCUUGUUUAUAUGAGAAGUAUAACCUGCCCACUGAUUAUUAUUGAAGGGCCGCGGUAUUUUGACCGUGCAAAGGUAGCAUAAUCAUUAGUCUUUUAAUUGAAGGCUGGAAUGAAAGGUUGGACGAGAUAUAUACUGUCUUAUUUUUUUAUGUUGAAUUUAAUUAUUAAGUAAAAAAGCUUAAAUGUUUUUAUGGGACGAGAAGACCCUAUAGAGUUUAAUAAUUAUUGAUUUAUUUUUGGUUUGAUAAAUUAUUUUAUGUUUUUAAUUAUUUUGUUGGGGUGAUGGGAAGAUAAAAUUAACUCUUUCUUUUGUUGUAUAUUGAUUUAUAUUUAUUUGAUCCAUUAUUAAUGAUUAUAAGUCUAAAUUACCUUAGGGAUAACAGCGUAAUCUUUUUUAAGAGUUCUUAUCGACAAAAAGGGUUGCGACCUCGAUGUUGGAUUAAGAUAAACAUUAGGUGUAGAAGUUUAAGUAUGUUAGGUCUGUUCGACCUUUAAAAUCUUACAUGAUCUGAGUUCAAACCGGCGUAAGCCAGGUUGGUUUCUAUCUAUAAUUUAAUAUAGUAUUUUAGUACGAAAGGACCAGAUACUAGAAAUAAUUUUAUUUUUAUAGUAUAUUAAUAAUAACUAUUUUGGCAGAAAAGUGCGGUGGAUUUAGAAUCUAUA
rnacentral:rRNA from 1 species